rnacentral:rRNA from 1 species
CAUGCAAGUCGAGGGGAAACGACAUCGAAAGCUUGCUUUUGAUGGGCGUCGACCGGCGCACGGGUGAGUAACGCGUAUCCAACCUGCCCAUCACUUGGGGAUAACCUUGCGAAAGUAAGACUAAUACCCAAUGACGUCUCUAGAAGACAUCUGAAAGAGAUUAAAGAUUUAUCGGUGAUGGAUGGGGAUGCGUCUGAUUAGCUUGUUGGCGGGGUAACGGCCCACCAAGGCGGCGAUCUGUAGGGGUUCUGAGAGGAAGGUCCCCCACAUUGGAACUGAGACACGGUCCAAACUCCUACGGGAGGCAGCAGUGAGGAAUAUUGGUCAAUGGGCGAGAGCCUGAACCAGCCAAGUAGCGUGCAGGAUGACGGCCCUAUGGGUUGUAAACUGCUUUUAUAAGGGAAUAAAGUGAGUCUCGUGAGACUUUUUGCAUGUACCUUAUGAAUAAGGACCGGCUAAUUCCGUGCCAGCAGCCGCGGUAAUACGGAAGGUCCGGGCGUUAUCCGGAUUUAUUGGGUUUAAAGGGAGCGUAGGCCGGAGAUUAAGCGUGUUGUGAAAUGUAGACGCUCAACGUCUGCACUGCAGCGCGAACUGGUUUCCUUGAGUACGCACAAAGUGGGCGGAAUUCGUGGUGUAGCGGUGAAAUGCUUAGAUAUCACGAAGAACUCCGAUUGCGAAGGCAGCUCACUGGAGCGCAACUGACGCUGAAGCUCGAAAGUGCGGGUAUCGAACAGGAUUAGAUACCCUGGUAGUCCGCACGGUAAACGAUGGAUGCCCGCUGUUGGUCUGAAUAGGUCAGCGGCCAAGCGAAAGCAUUAAGCAUCCCACCUGGGGAGUACGCCGGCAAC